CGGGCCCCGGGCGGGCGGGAGGGACGGGACGCGGUGCAGUGUUGUUUUUUCCCCCGCCAAUAUUGCACUCGUCCCGGCCUCCGGCCCCCCCGGCCC
rnacentral:ncRNA from 2 species